ACCGGGGAGGGUCAUUGGAAACUGGGGAACUUGAGUGCAGAAGAGGAGAGUGGAAUUCCACGUGUAGCGGUGAAAUGCGUAGAGAUGUGGAGGAACACCAGUGGCGAAGGCGACUCUCUGGUCUGUAACUGACGCUGAGGAGCGAAAGCGUGGGGAGCGAACAGGAUUAGAUACCCUGGUAGUCCACGCCGUAAACGAUGAGUGCUAAGUGUUAGGGGGUUUCCGCCCCUUAGUGCUGCAGCUAACGCAUUAAGCACUCCGCCUGGGGAGUACGGUCGCAAGACUGAAACUCAAAGGAAUUGACGGGGGCCCGCACAAGCGGUGGAGCAUGUGGUUUAAUUCGAAGCAACGCGAAGAACCUUACCAGGUCUUGACAUCCUCUGACGAUCCUAGAGAUAGGACGUCCCCUUCGGGGGCAGAGUGACAGGUGGUGCAUGGUUGUCGUCAGCUCGUGUCGUGAGAUGUUGGGUUAAGUCCCGCAACGAGCGCAACCCUUGAUCUUAGUUGCCAGCAUUCAGUUGGGCACUCUAAGGUGACUGCCGGUGACAAACCGGAGGAAGGUGGGGAUGACGUCAAAUCAUCAUGCCCCUUAUGACCUGGGCUACACACGUGCUACAAUGGACAGAACAAAGGGCAGCGAAACCGCGAGGUUAAGCCAAUCCCACAAAUC
rnacentral:rRNA from 1 species